UGGUAAAAAAUCUGACCUGCUCUAUGUAAAUGGCCGCGGUAUUUUGACCGUGCUAAGGUAGCAUAAUCAUUAGUUUUUUGAUUGGGGACUUGUAUGAAUGGUUGGACAAAGGAAUAACUGUCUUACAAGGUUGAAUUUUUUGUUUGGUGUGAGAAAACAUGAGGGAAGAAAAGACCCUAUUAAGUUUUAUUAUUUUGCUGGGGCGGUAAUGAUGGUAAGAAGAUUAAAUUACUGUAGGGAUAACAGCGUGAAAUAUUUGGAGAGUUCUUAUUGAUAAAUAGUUUUGCGACCUCGAUGUUGAAUUAAGUUUGUUUGGUGUAGGACUUUUAAAGACUUACA
rnacentral:rRNA from 1 species